GCGAUUCAUGGCUGUUGGUUGUCACUGCCGGCGUUUGUCACGCCGGUUUUUUCGCGUGGAAAGCCACGUGCGCGUUCAGGGCAUGCAGUUCGUGCC
rnacentral:tRNA from 1 species